rnacentral:lncRNA from 1 species
CCUGAUUUUACAGAGAAGAUUUUUACCUUUUUCUUUAAUUAAAAGCCUUCUUUUUAAGAACCUGAUUGAUUUUUCCUUGUUUUUAGAUCCAAGGGGGUUGGAUCUGUAUUCACCAGGGAAUUGGUGAAGAGUUUCUCAAGGCUUCCCAGGGAAGGGAAUUAGCUUUGGGAAUGGUGGCAGUGGACCAGAUCUAAUCUGGUAGUUAAGCUUAGAAGUUUUCAUGCAGGCCCCCACAUUUGUACCCUAAAGUUCAAAGUGGGGAAGCAGCCUUGACAGGGUCUAUCUUGAAAAAGUGCAUCUUCCUCAAGAUCAAAUGCCACCAAAUAGCAGUGCUUCCAACAUGAGAUCACUUUGCUUAUUAGCCAAUGUUGUUGAUUUUAUUCCAGGAAGCACAGCAUUUAAAACAACUUGAAAACAUAGAUGCCUUGACAUCUGACAAACUCACAAGGAUAGCCACAUGUGUACUGACUGGCAUUUCCCUCUAGGCAAGGAGCUGGAUCAGGUACUUCAGGAAACCAGCUCUGGCAGCAUACAGGAAAAGAGAGACAGUGAUAUAAUGCACCAAAAGGAUUUUCCUGUCUAUCAGGCAAGAGAGUUGAUUCCUCGCUAGGUGGUAAGUUGUAUAUCUUCAAUUCAUACCACAGCAAUGGUUCUCUACAGCUUAAGUUUGCAAAUUCUCUGCAACUGGCCUGAAAGCAAUGGGACCGUGCAGGAUUUAAAUCAGCACAGAAUGUGACCCAAACACUUAGGCAAGUUAUUAGACUAACCCAGUUUUUGAAAUAUGAGGCCAGACUCACUAGUGCUGGCACAUGGAGGUGUGAGUUAUAGCUCUCUCCCACUGCCAGAUCUCUACACCCAGGAAAAGAUUCACCCCAGGGGUGGGCAUGUUGUGUUGCCACUGUAACCAGUGGUUAAAGGAGAAUGAAACAAAGGGGGAGCUCUCAGUGCAUCAGUUGAGGAGGAAGGGGAGCUGUAGGGGAACACUGCUUACCCAAGCCAGAAAGAGGUGAGGGAAUUGCUCUCUGCUUUUAGCUUCCCCUUAAUUUAACUCAGGGUUUCUGCCUGAAGGAGGCAGUUUUAAUUUAUGCCAUGAUCCCGUGGGAUAGGACAGUACCUAGUUACUGGGGUGAUAAGUAUAAAUACUUGACUGACAUACAGACACUGUAGGAGUUCUGCUGGCAGAAACAGCAGAAGGGAUACAUUCAGUCAGAUCAUCUUCCAGCCUCCCUGGCCAUGCCCCUUUCCCACCCAGUGCCUCCCAUUUUUAGGCUAUUCUUGUUGCCUACUCCUCCUGGAGCAAGGGGAAGUUGUUUCAACCAUUUUCCACCCUCAUGACCUCCUCGCCCAGUCUGCUGAUUUUUUCUUUUCAGCUUGUUCCUGAAGAGUCUUGGGGCCCA